rnacentral:rRNA from 1 species
AGUUUGAUCAUGGCUCAAACGAACGCUGGCGGCAGGCCUAACACAUGCAAGUCGAAGGCCUGUAGCAAUACAGGAGUGGCAGAGCGGUGAAUAACGCGUGGGAACCUGCCCUUCGGUUCGGAAUUCCUCUAGGUGACUUGAGCUAAUAACGGAUACGUCCGUGACGACAAAGAUUUAUCGAUGUGGGAGCGGCCCGCGUUAUAUUAUCUAGUUGGUGAGAUAACGGCUGCCCCUGGCUAUGAUCUUUACCUGGUCUGAGACGACCAUCCCCCCCACUGGGACUGAGACACGGACCACACUCCUACGGGAGGCAGCAGUGAGGAAUAUUGGACUCUGGGCGCAAGCCUGAUCCAGCCAUGCCGCGUGAUUGAUGAAAGUCUUACGGUUGCAUGCCUCUUUCAGCAGGAACGAUCAUGACGGUACCCGCAUAAUAAACCCCGGCUAACUUCGUGCCAUCAGCCGCGGUAUUACGAAAGCGGCUAACGUUGCUCGGAAUCACUGGGCGUAAAGCGCACCUAUGCUGGUCACUGAGUCGGCGGUGAAAUCAUGCAGCUCAUCUCCAGAACUGCCUUCUAUACUGGCGAUCUUGCAGUCCGGGAGAGGUGGGUGGAACUGCCACUGCCCAGGUGACCUUCGUACAUGUUCUCAGCAAACCCGUGGCGAAUGCCUCUCACUGGCCGAGUACUUACUCUGAGGCGCUACCCCAGUAGACCAUACCGCUUAAAACCCAUGUUUUUCACU